AGAGUUUGAUCAUGGCUCAGGAUGAACGCUGGCGGCGUGCCUAACACAUGCAAGUCGAACGGACAAAAAGGGGCUUGCUCCUUUUUGUCAGUGGCGGACGGGUGAGUAGCGCGUGGGUAACCUGCCGUAUACAGGGGGAUAACAGUUAGAAAUGACUGCUAAUACCGCAUAAGCGCACAGUACCGCAUGGUACAGUGUGAAAAGCCGAGACGGUAUACGAUGGACCCGCGUCUGAUUAGCCGGUUGGCGGGGUAACGGCCCACCAAAGCAACGAUCAGUAGCCGGCCUGAGAGGGUGGACGGCCACAUUGGGACUGAGACACGGCCCAAACUCCUACGGGAGGCAGCAGUGGGGGAUAUUGCACAAUGGGGGGAACCCUGAUGCAGCGACGCCGCGUGAGUGAAGAAGUAUUUCGGUAUGUAAAGCUCUAUCAGCAGGGAAGAAAAUGACGGUACCUGAGUAAGAAGCACCGGCUAAAUACGUGCCAGCAGCCGCGGUAAUACGUAUGGUGCAAGCGUUAUCCGGAUUUACUGGGUGUAAAGGGAGCGUAGACGGCUGUGCAAGUCUGAAGUGAAAGCCCGGGGCUCAACCGCGGGACUGCUUUGGAAACUGCAAAGCUGGAGUGCAGGAGAGGUAAGUGGAAUUCCUGGUGUAGCGGUGAAAUGCGUAGAUAUCAGGAGGAACACCGGCGGCGAAGGCGGCUUACUGGACUGUAACUGACGUUGAGGCUCGAAGGCGUGGGGAGCAAACAGGAUUAGAUACCCUGGUAGUCCACGCGGUAAACGACGAUCACUAGGUGU
rnacentral:rRNA from 1 species